rnacentral:tRNA from 1 species
GCCUUUGUGGUGCAGUGGUCAGCACGCUUGAUACGUAUUUGAGGGGUCCGUUGUUCAAGUCCCGGCGAGGGCA